CUAGUAACGGCGAGUGAAGCGGCAACAGCUCAAAUUUGAAAUCUGGCUCUUUCAGAGUCCGAGUUGUAAUUUGCAGAGGGCGCUUUGGCUUUGGCAGCGGUCCAAGUUCCUUGGAACAGGACGUCACAGAGGGUGAGAAUCCCGUACGUGGUCGCUAGCUAUUGCCGUGUAAAGCCCCUUCGACGAGUCGAGUUGUUUGGGAAUGCAGCUCUAAAUGGGAGGUAAAUUUCUUCUAAAGCUAAAUAUUGGCCAGAGACCGAUAGCGCACAAGUAGAGUGAUCGAAAGAUGAAAAGCACUUUGGAAAGAGAGUCAAACAGCACGUGAAAUUGUUGAAAGGGAAGCGCUUGCAGCCAGACUUGCUUGCAGUUGCUCAUCCGGGCUUUUGCCCGGUGCACUCUUCUGCAGGCAGGCCAGCAUCAGUUUGGGCGGUGGGAUAAAGGUCUCUGACACGUUCCUUCCUUCGGGUUGGCCAUAUAGGGGAGACGUCAUACCACCAGCCUGGACUGAGGUCCGCGCAUCUGCUAGGAUGCUGGCGUAAUGGCUGUAAGCGGCCCGUCUUGAAACACGGACCAAGGAGUCUAACAUCUAUGCGAGUGUUUGGGUGUCAAGCCCGAGCGCGUAAUGAAAGUGAACGGAGGUGGGAACCCGCAAGGGUGCACCAUCGACCGAUCCUGAAGUUUACGGAAGGAUUUGAGUAAGAGCAUGGCUGUUGGGACCCGAAAGAUGGUGAACUAUGCUUGAAUAGGGUGAAGCCAGAGGAAACUCUGGUGGAGGCUCGCAGCGGUUCUGACGUGCAAAUCGAUCGUCAAAUUUGGGCAUAGGGGCGAAAGACUAAUCGAACUAUCUAGUAGCUGGUUCCUGCCGAAGUUUCCCUCAGGAUAGCAGUAACGUAUUCAGUUUUAUGAGGUAAAGCGAAUGAUUAGAGGCAUGGGGGGUUGAAACAACCUUCACCUAUUCUCAAACUUUAAAUAUGUAAGAAGCCCUUUGUUACUUAAUUGAACGCGGGCAUUUGAAUGAAACGUUAUUAGUGGGCCAUUUUUGGUAAGCAGAACUGGCGAUGCGGGAUGAACCGAACGAGGGGUUACGGUGCCGGAGUACACGCUCAUCAGACACCACAAAAGGUGUUGGUUCAUCUAGACAGCAGGACGGUGGCCAUGGAAGUCGGAAUCCGCUAAGGAGUGUGUAACAACUCACCUGCCGAAUGAACUAGCCCUGAAAAUGGAUGGCGCUCAAGCGUGUCACCUAUACCCCUCCGCCGGGGCAAAAUUUACGCCCCGGCGAGUAGGCAGGCGUGGAGGCUCGUGACGAAG
rnacentral:rRNA from 1 species